rnacentral:rRNA from 1 species
UACGUAGGGCGCAAGCGUUAUCCGGAAUUAUUGGGCGUAAAGAGCUCGUAGGCGGUUUGUCGCGUCUGCCGUGAAAGUCCGGGGCUCAACUCCGGAUCUGCGGUGGGUACGGGCAGACUAGAGUGAUGUAGGGGAGACUGGAAUUCCUGGUGUAGCGGUGAAAUGCGCAGAUAUCAGGAGGAACACCGAUGGCGAAGGCAGGUCUCUGGGCAUUAACUGACGCUGAGGAGCGAAAGCAUGGGGAGCGAUCAGG